AAGACGAGAUAGGGAAGAGAUGCGGCCCUGGAACAAAUGGUUGAGCUGCAAAAAGAAAGAAUGGGUAAGGACACGCUCAUAAAAAAUAACUAAAAAAUAAAAAACACUCACGUUGCUUAAGUUCUGUCCAAUCUCUUCGACGAUCCGGUCCAUCGGAUACCCAGAGAUAGCCCGCAGUGUGGUACGGGUGGCAUCCGUGUCGGGGGUCAGGGAAAAUUUGGACCCAUAGUUUCGGGGACGCGAUCCUUGAUACCCCGGCAGCUGCG
rnacentral:lncRNA from 1 species